UACGUAGGGCGCAAGCGUUAUCCGGAAUUAUUGGGCGUAAAGAGCGUGUAGGCGGCUCGGUAAGUCCGCUGUGAAAGUCCAGGGCUCAACCCUGGAAUGCCAGUGGAAACUGUCGAGCUAGAGUCCGGAAGAGGCGAGUGGAAUUCCUGGUGUAGCGGUGAAAUGCGCAGAUAUCAGGAGGAACACCAAUGGCGAAGGCAGCUCGCUGGGACGGUACUGACGCUGAGACGCGAAAGCGUGGGGAGCAAACAGG
rnacentral:rRNA from 1 species